rnacentral:rRNA from 1 species
UACGGAGGGAGCUAGCGUUAUUCGGAAUUACUGGGCGUAAAGCGCACGUAGGCGGCUUUGUAAGUUAGAGGUGAAAGCCCGGAGCUCAACUCCGGAAUUGCCUUUAAGGACUGCAUCGCUAGAAUUGUGGAGAGGUAAGUGGAAUUCCGAGUGUAGAGGUGAAAUUCGUAGAUAUUCGGAAGAACACCAGUGGCGAAGGCGACUUACUGGACACAUAUUGACGCUGAGGUGCGGAAGCGUGGGGAGCAAACAGG